CUCGCCCCAAUGGUUAGAAAUAGAGAACUGUUGGGCACAACCAUUAAAACUGCACUCGCUGUUUUGGACCCCCAAAACGCAUAGAAAGGAGACCACAUCUCUUACCCACAACUCAACACAUCUUACAGCACUGGGACUCUUCUAAACACCAGAUGGUACACUAUCUCCCAAUGCUGAUGGCAGCCCCACUAACAGCCCUAGAACUCAUAAUACCGACCCUAAAUACACAACCACGGCUACAGGUGGGCUCCGGGAAAUAAGGCAACUCUAUCACAACGGAAACAUAAAGCCCUUUCCAGACAUACAACAAGAAUUCAAUCUCCCUCCAUGACUGAUCUUCCCCUACCUACAAAUCAAAUCCUACCUAACAAAAAACAAACCCUGCAAGACGCAUAACAAACCCACAAUGCACAUGUCCGAAUUUGAACUAAUAUGUAUCCAUAGAAAACCACUACUCCAGGAGCCAGACCAAGACAGAGACACAUACA